rnacentral:tRNA from 2 species
AAAAAGGUAAGCUAAUUAAGCUAAUGGGUUCAUACCCCAUUUAUAUAGGUAUCAAUCCUAUCCUUUUUA